ACAGCGGCUCGCUUCAAGAGCAGGUGAAGCAAUUUGGGACAAUGCUGAAGACGUUUGCUCGCACUGGGCAAUCAGGUGCAGAUCAGACCCUAGUGCUGCGACGUCUUGGAGAGUUUGGCGAUGUUGUACAUAGCAUGGAAAACUAUGCUGCAACAUUUCAGUGCCAAUGUGUCUGUUGGAGAGCUAUCCCUGCCAGGGGAUCUGUUACUCCCCCUAGACACCCAGGAAGAUUUGGUGUUUCUUGACAGCAUUUUGAGGCAGGAUAAGGAGCUCCAGGAACGAUUUGGGCCCUCCGGAAGAACCCGGCAACCCAGGAUGACACUGAUGAGGCGGUCCAGGUUAACGUUACACGUUACCUGAAAGGAGCAUCAGACCGUGAAGGAGGAAAAAGCUGCACAGCUGAGAAGGACCCACAGCCGACCCCUUAAACCUAGGCUGACUACUGACACCCCAGCAUCACUGAACUGGAACACUUUCUUUAUCCUGCAUUCAGUAACAUCAAGAAGCCAGAAGUGCCAGACUACACUCACCAAAUCCACCCUGUUUUUUUUGUAUUUUAACUUUAGUAUUGGCUUAUUUCAUUCCGUCUUAACGAUUCUAUUAUAGUUUGUAAAUCCUAUUUCAUACCUGUUACUUGAUAUUGCACAUUAACUAGUACCAACAUUCUACUUUCAUUUCAUCACUGUGCUUAACUGUUAUUCAAUUAAUAAUAGCUUGGAAAUACUAUUUCGUACCUCUGAUACUUGAUAUUGCACAUUACCUGGUACCAAAUAUUCUACUUUGUUUUUAACAUCAGCAUUUUUCAUUCCAUCACAGUGCUUAACUAUUAUUCUAUUGUUAAAUAUAGCUUGUAAAUCCUUGUGCCACAGGUCAGCAUUGCAGUUAUAAUGGUCUGUUCUACUACUGUUUUUACCUCUGUAUUUUUAUAUAUGUAUGUCAAGUUUUGUUUAUCACAGAUACAAGAGACACAUCUUAAUGCAGCAUGGUGUAAAUAUUGUGCUCCAGGUCAGCAAUGCCAUUAUAAUGGAAUAUUCUACUCUAGAGCUUUACUCAAUGGCUUGAAAAUGUGAUGUUCUACCUCGUUUUAUUUGGUAUCCUGCACAUUCUUUGGUACCAAAUAUCCUCAUUACUUAUGUUUACUGGUAAUUAUUUUCAUCCCAGAGCUGACCUCUAUAUUAUUAACAAUUAUUGUGUUUGUGUUAUAAUUUGCUUGUAUCGCUGUUCUUUUUUUUUAACCAAC
ensembl:lncRNA